GACGUAGGGUCCAAGCGUUGUCCGGAUUUACUGGGCGUAAAGAGCGCGUAGGCGGCUUGUUAAGUGUGAAGUGAAAUCUCCAGGGCUCAACCCGGAAACUGCUUUACAUACUGGCAAGCUGGAGUGAUGCAGAGGUUUGUGGAAUUCCUGGUGUAACGGUGAAAUGUGUUGAUAUCAGGAGGAACACCCAUGGCGAAGGCAGCAAACUGGGCAUCAACUGACGCUGAGGAGCGAAAGCGUGGGGGAGCGAACAGG
rnacentral:rRNA from 1 species